rnacentral:rRNA from 1 species
UACGUAGGGGGCUAGCGUUGUCCGGAUUUAUUGGGCGUAAAGAGCGUGUAGGCGGCCACGCAGGUCCGUUGUGAAAACUGGAGGCUCAACCUCCAGCUGUCGACGGAAACCGUGUGGCUAGAGUCCGGAAGAGGAGAGUGGAAUUCCUGGUGUAGCGGUGAAAUGCGCAGAUAUCAGGAAGAACACCAAUGGCGAAGGCAGCUCUCUGGGACGGUACUGACGCUGAGACGCGAAAGCGUGGGGAGCGAACAGG